rnacentral:lncRNA from 1 species
GGUUGUGAUAAACUUCGAUCAGAUUAUCCACCGUCCCUAGCGCAAUUGGCAAAGAACUUUAUAGUUGGUAUCCGAGAUCCCAAGUUCGAAUUCUAGUUGAUUCACAUUUCCAACUAAGCUUAUUUCUAAAUUAAAUAAAUGAAACAGGUAACAUGCUAUCUAUCUCUAAUAAAAAAAAAAAAAAAAACAAACAAACAAACAAACACAUAAGCUGAGACUAGAUAGAAGCAUUCAAAAGAAUUUUAAGAAAGUUCUACACAUUUGCAUUGAGAUGAAAGUCACAAAAUGGCGCAUUUUGGUUUGAAAAUUGGAAAUGUUUAUCGAAACCAAAGAAUUAUAGAUUUGGCAAGUUUUUAACCUAGGCGUCACAGACAUAGACACGGAAAACUGAAUACGACACGACUCCGCAGCUUCUGAAAUAUUAGGAUGCGGACACGGUAUGGACAACGCCAAUAAAAUAUAAUAUUAUUAGUAUAAUAAUAUACGAGCUAGGCUGGUAUACUAUCGGUAAUACGGAGGCCUCCGUGCUACCAAGUUGUUUUCAAUGAUGCGGUUUCCAAAUCGACGAUCGGCUCAGUUAGACUUGAUUUACACUAUUGAAAGUAUUUAGAAACUAAAUUUCAUAAUUUUCGGUAUCAUUUACCUAUCAAAUGAGUAGUCUAAAAAUGAACGACUGAAAAUAAAAAUCUCAUAAAAAAUGAUGAUAAAAAACUUGAAUUUAAGAUAAGAGGCACUGAUCUAACUCUAAAUAGUGAAAAAAAAUUUUGAAAUCCUUUGAUCAUUAGGGAAAUGAUGUCGAAAAGAUUUGAAAUUUGAUUUCUGAACACUUCAAGUGGUAUAGAUCAUAUUCAACGGUGCAGAUCGUCGAUUUGGAGGCUCUAUCAUCGAAAAUAAAUGGGUGGCAACGGGCCCAUUUGCUAUCGAUAAUAUUCUAGCUCAACUCUAUAUAUAUAUUCAUCAUAUAUAAUUCAUUUAUAUUGUGCAAAACAAUUUGUAUGUAUUCAUCAAAAAAUCAAAAUAUUUAUCAUCUUUGACGCAGAUCCACGGCACAUCCACGUCAGAUACAAGUCUGACACGAACACGUAAUUUCCGACACGGACAUGUAUCCGACAUAAACACGCGAGACUUACAGAAAUGUCUUUG